UACAGAGGGUGCGAGCGUUGUCCGGAAUCACUGGGCGUAAAGGGCGCGUAGGUGGCGCUCCAAGUCCGUGGUGAAAGCUCGAUGCUCAACAUCGAGUCGGCCACGGAGACUGGAGGGCUCGAGCACUGUAGGGGCAGAUGGAAUUCCGGGUGUAGCGGUGGAAUGCGUAGAGAUCCGGAAGAACACCGGUGGCGAAGGCGGUCUGCUGGGCAGUUGCUGACACUGAGGCGCGACAGCGUGGGGAGCAAACAGG
rnacentral:rRNA from 1 species